rnacentral:rRNA from 1 species
AUUGAACGCUGGCGGCAUGCCUUACACAUGCAAGUCGAACGGCAGCACGGGAGCAAUCCUGGUGGCGAGUGGCGAACGGGUGAGUAAUGUAUCGGAACGUACCUUUCAGUGGGGGAUAACGUAGCGAAAGUUACGCUAAUACCGCAUAUUCUGUGAGCAGGAAAGCAGGGGAUCGCAAGACCUUGCGCUGAUUGAGCGGCCGAUAUCAGAUUAGCUAGUUGGUGAGGUAAAGGCUCACCAAGGCGACGAUCUGUAGCGGGUCUGAGAGGAUGAUCCGCCACACUGGAACUGAGACACGGUCCAGACUCCUACGGGAGGCAGCAGUGGGGAAUUUUGGACAAUGGGCGCAAGCCUGAUCCAGCCAUGCCGCGUGAGUGAAGAAGGCCUUCGGGUUGUAAGUACUCUUUACGUAUGUGUACGAUGAUGACGGUAGCGAU